AACAUACUUCCUCCGUCCAACAAAGGAUGUCUCAACUUUGACUAAAUUUGAAUGCAUCUAUACACUAAGUCAUGUCUAGAUACAUCCAAUUUUUGACAAACUUGAGACAUCUUUUGUUGGACGGAGGGAGUACAAC
rnacentral:pre_miRNA from 1 species